rnacentral:rRNA from 1 species
AUUGAACGCUGGCGGGAUGCUUUACACAUGCAAGUCGAACGGCAGCACGGACUUCGGUCUGGUGGCGAGUGGCGAACGGGUGAGUAAUGUAUCGGAACGUGCCCAGUCGUGGGGGAUAACGUAGUGAAAAUUACGCUAAUACCGCAUACGAUCUAUGGAUGAAAGCGGGGGAUCGCAAGACCUCGCGCGAUUGGAGCGGCCGAUAUCAGAUUAGGUAGUUGGUGGGGUAAAGGCCCACCAAGCCAACGAUCUGUAGCUGGUCUGAGAGGACGACCAGCCACACUGGAACUGAGACACGGUCCAGACUCCUACGGGAGGCAGCAGUGGGGAAUUUUGGACAAUGGGCGAAAGCCUGAUCCAGCCAUUCCGCGUGCAGGAUGAAGGCCCUCGGGUUGUAAACUGCUUUUGUACAGAACGAAAAGGUUUCUACUAGUACUAGGAGCUCAUGACGGUACUGUAAGUAUAAGCACCGGCUAACUACGUGCCAGCCGCCGCGGUAA